rnacentral:tRNA from 1 species
GGGGUAUAGCUCAGUGGUAGAGUGUUUGCCUAAUGUGUGAGACCCUGGGUUCAAUCCCCAGUACUGCCA